rnacentral:rRNA from 1 species
UACGAACCGUGCAAACGUUAUCCGGAAUCACUGGGCGUAAAGGGCGCGUAGGCGGCGUCGGGAGUCCGUGGUGAAAGCUCGUGGCUCAACUGCGAGUCGGCCAUGGAUACUCCGAUGCUUGAGCACUGUAGAGGCAGGUGGAAUUCCGGGUGUAGCGGUGGAAUGCGUAGAGAUCCGGAAGAACACCGGUGGCGAAGGCGGCCUGCUGGGCAGUAGCUGACGCUGAGACGCGAAAGCGUGGGUAGCAAACAGG